rnacentral:lncRNA from 1 species
AUGUCACUGGUAUACUUGUUUUGGGGUGGUGCAGCGACUGCGCCCAACUACAGAGCCAUGGGGGUCACUGGGGAGCCCAUCCCCCCUCUGCCCAGCCUGCUGGACACCUCCACCUGGGGCAGCACCCGCUCCCUGCCCCCCCACACCGAGAGCUUCGCCAUUGCCAGCCUGGGAGCCAGCACGACAGACCUCUCCAGACAGACCUCACCCUUGAUGAGAGACUCCUCCCUCGAGGAGACUGGGACGCACGUGGGCGUGUCAGAGUUCACCACAGCCAGCUCCGGAGAGAGACGGACCACAGUGACCAGCCAGGAGGGCGUGGGCUCUACCUACACCGUACCCACCACCAGCCAAGAAAGGGAGGAGGUGGAAGAGAGAGAGAGUUUAGAGAAGAAGAACAUGGAGUAUCUCGAAGGGGAGAGAGGGAUGUCGCUGGCUGCUGACAGGAAAGAAGAGUUGGAAAGGUCCGAUCAGGGUAGCUGUGCUGGUGUGGAUGUCGACCUGAUUGAUGAAGAUCCUCUGGAUGCUAGCUCCUCUGUUUUAGAGGGAGAAGAUGAACUUGUGUCAGAUGAGGAAGAGUUGCCUGGCGAAGAGGAGACAGACCAUGAGGAUGAAGAUGUGAUUAAUGAUCAAGUGCUAACUGACGAAGAGGUCUCUGUGGCCAGUACACAGCAGGCAGAGACAUCAGGAGCUCACCAUGGCAGCACACACAGUGAAGAUUACCUUUCAGGCUGUGGUCCAGACACAGAGGGAGCUGCAGCAUCUGUACAGCAGAGCCAGGCCAAAGGCCUGUCUGGGGGCCCAGACUCACUGGAGGAGACUGAUAGAGCUCACUCUACUCUGGAUGAGGUGCUGCAGGGCAUGUUGGUGGAAAGGGCCGCUGGUCAAAGGGUUCUGAAAAGUCCAGGUCUGGUUGCACACCCCAAACAGCAACUGGGUGUGUGUGAGCCCCAGGUGGAGGGCGAGUUGAGUGAGGAUGCAGGUUGUCCAGGAGGGGACCGUGCCGAAGUGGCAGAACGAAAGGGGGUCGACACCAAUGACUGGACAGAACCAGCACCUGUCGCAGAAAAGCUAGAAAUGGCUAGUCAUGAGACCUGGAGUCAGCCUCACAGGUGUGUUUUUAUUUUUUACAUUUUAUUUAUACACACACAGUUGAAGUCAGAAGUUUACAUACACCUUAGCCAAAUACAUUUAAACUCAGUUUUUCACAAUUCCCGACAUUUAAAUCCUAGUAAAAAUUCCCUGUCUUAG